rnacentral:rRNA from 1 species
AGUGAACGCUGGCGGUAGGCCUAACACAUGCAAGUCGAACGGCAGCACAGAGGAGCUUGCUCCUUGGGUGGCGAGUGGCGGACGGGUGAGGAAUACAUCGGAAUCUACUCUGUCGUGGGGGAUAACGUAGGGAAACUUACGCUAAUACCGCAUACGACCUACGGGUGAAAGCAGGGGAUCUUCGGACCUUGCGCGAUUGAAUGAGCCGAUGUCGGAUUAGCUAGUUGGCGGGGUAAAGGCCCACCAAGGCGACGAUCGGUAGCUGGCCUGAGAGGAGGAUCAGCCACACUGGAACUGAGACACGGUCCAGACUCCUCCGGGAGGCAGCAGUGGGGAAUAUUGGACAAUGGGCGUAAGCCUGAUCCAGCCAUACCGCGUGGGUGAAGAAGGCCUUCGGGUUGUAAAGCCCUUUUGUUGGGAAAGAAAUCCAUCUGGUUAAUACCCGGGUGGGAUGACGGUACCCAAAGAAUAAGCACCGGCUAACUUUGUGCCAGCAGCCGCCGUAA